ensembl:misc_RNA Metazoa_SRP Metazoan signal recognition particle RNA
GCCAGGCAUAGUGGCCUGAGCCUGUAGUCCCAGCUACUUGAGAGGCUGAGGCAGGAGGAUCGAUUGAGCCCAGGAAUUUGAGGCUACAGUGAGCCAAGAUUAUGCUACUGCACUCCAGCCUGGGCAACAGAGCGAGACCCUGUCUCUU